UACGUAGGGUGCAAGCGUUGUCCGGAAUUAUUGGGCGUAAAGAGCUUGUAGGCGGUUUGUCGCGUCUGCUGUGAAAACUCGGGGCUUAACCCCGAGCCUGCAGUGGGUACGGGCAGACUAGAGUGUGGUAGGGGAGACUGGAAUUCCUGGUGUAGCGGUGAAAUGCGCAGAUAUCAGGAGGAACACCGAUGGCGAAGGCAGGUCUCUGGGCCAUAACUGACGCUGAGAAGCGAAAGCAUGGGGAGCGAACAGG
rnacentral:rRNA from 1 species